rnacentral:rRNA from 1 species
AGUGAACGCUGGCGGUAGGCCUAACACAUGCAAGUCGAACGGCAGCACAGUAAGAGCUUGCUCUUACGGGUGGCGAGUGGCGGACGGGUGAGGAAUACAUCGGAAUCUACUUUUUCGUGGGGGAUAACGUAGGGAAACUUACGCUAAUACCGCAUACGACCUACGGGUGAAAGCAGGGGAUCUUCGGACCUUGCGCGAUUGAAUGAGCCGAUGUCGGAUUAGCUAGUUGGCGGGGUAAAGGCCCACCAAGGCGACGAUCCGUAGCUGGUCUGAGAGGAUGAUCAGCCACACUGGAACUGAGACACGGUCCAGACUCCUACGGGAGGCAGCAGUGGGGAAUAUUGGACAAUGGGCGCAAGCCUGAUCCAGUCAUACCGCGUGGGUGAAGAAGGCCUUCGGGUUGUAAAGCCCUUUUGUUAGGAAAGAAAAGCAGCAGGUUAAUACCCCGCUGUUCUGACGGUACCCAAAGAAUAAGCACCGGCUAACUUCGUG